GACGAACGCUGGCGGCGUGCUUAACACAUGCCAGUCGAACGGAAAGGCCCUGCUUUUGUGGGGUGCUCGAGUGGCGAACGGGUGAGUAACACGUGAGUAACCUGCCCUUGACUUUGGGAUAACUUCAGGAAACUGGGGCUAAUACCGGAUAGGAGCUCCUGCUGCAUGGUGGGGGUUGGAAAGUUUCGGCGGUUGGGGAUGGACUCGCGGCUUAUCAGCUUGUUGGUGGGGUAGUGGCUUACCAAGGCUUUGACGGGUAGCCGGCCUGAGAGGGUGACCGGCCACAUUGGGACUGAGAUACGGCCCAGACUCCUACGGGAGGCAGCAGUGGGGAAUAUUGCACAAUGGGCGGAAGCCUGAUGCAGCAACGCCGCGUGCGGGAUGACGGCCUUCGGGUUGUAAACCGCUUUCGCCUGUGACGAAGCGUGAGUGACGGUAAUGGGUAAAGAAGCCCCGGCUAACUACGUG
rnacentral:rRNA from 1 species